rnacentral:piRNA from 1 species
UACUCAGUUGAUGAAGUCUGCUCCCUCACA